AAAGAUGGCUGUGUGACUGCAAUUGUUUUCAAUUGAGGAAAGUCCGGACUCCACCGAAUAUAGUACAUGGUAACUCCAUGCUGAGGUAACUCAAGGGCUAGUGCAACAGAAAAUAAACCGCCUAUUUAAUAGGUAAGGGUGGAACGGUGCGGUAAGAGCGCACCAGGUUUCUUAGUAAUAGGAAAUGCUAUGUAAACCCUACUAGGAGCAAGGUCAAAUAGAGAUAGCUGGUAAUUUCGGACCGUUACUAUCUGGGUAGACUGCAAAAGGUAAUUAGUGAUAAUUAUCUCAGAUGAAUAGUCACACUCGACAGAAUCCGGCUUAUAGGCCAUCUUUUCUC
rnacentral:RNase_P_RNA from 1 species